CUGCUGCUCUGCACCCACAUAGGACAAGGAAGUAUGGAUAAUCCUUCGCCUUGCUAUUUUUUUCCUCUCAUGUGAUCUUGUUUUUGGACAGCUAUUUUGGGGCUGGACUCCAGCCCAGGUGAAAGACAAGGAUUGAAUCCAGCCUCCCCCUUUCCCGGAGGCCCUCCAGGACCUCUGCCUGUCUGCUUGCAGGAUGGGGUGAAGCCCUGCCACCGGCUCAUGGUCCGUGCCUGCUUCCAGCCCUUUCCCUCUCUUGCUGCAGAGCCCUUUCUGUUGUGUUCUGCUCUGUGCAGCCGAGGGGUGAUGGAAGCAGGCUGUGGUGAGCACACUGUGCCUGGUCACCCCACCAUCCCAUGGCCUCCCCCUGCCCUUUGGGACCAGGGCUCUCACUGGCACUGGCUCAGCUGCAGAGUCGGAGUCUCCCCAGCACCAUUUGCCUCUUUCUGCCCGUUUCCCCCCCAGACCAGCCUGGCAGGAAGCUGAUGGGAGAUAAAUGCAUUAAAAAUAUGCUUGGAGCUUUUAGCAGCCUUGGAAUGAACCACUGAAAGCCCUGACUCUGUGUGCUGCCCAUCAUUCCCCUCCUUCUGGCUGGGAGCAUCCCACCAGCACCUGGAGGAGAUGGACAGGUGGGGACAUGGGUGAGGGGGGGAACUCUGGGGGUCUGUGCUGUGUCCUGCCUGUCCCUGCCCUAGGGGCUCUGCUGGGGACAUCCUUGGGCACAUCCUGGUGUCAAACGCUCAGCACUGUCAGGACUGACUAUUUUAAUCCCAUUUAUGUCUUUCAGCCCCACGGAUGAAGUUGAGGGGGGCCAGUGGGGUGCUGGGGAAGGGCAGCCUGGCUCUGUGGCUCAGGGGAUGCAGGAGUGACCCCUGCAUGGGCAGGAGUGGGGCAGAACAUGGAUGUCUGGGAUGUGACACUGGCUCUCGCUGUCCCCACGUGCAGGUGUCACUGCAGACACAUCCGUGCCCUUUCACGGUGGAUGGUGGGAGGAGUGGGUGCUGUCACGGCACGUUUGGCUGCCUAAAUUGGGUCUUUGUAUGACUGAAACUCGUUGAUGAGUCUCAGAGAAACCUGAAUUUCCCUCUCCCCAGUUCAGCUAUGAAAGAAGAGGGUUUCAGCACUGACUCCACAGCACUGUGGGCAGGUGGCACAUGGCAGCACGGGACAAGCGAAGUACAGGACCCACCAUGUGAGACUUCAGUCAGAGGUCAGUGUGAUUUGUGUUACAGAGAAAUGGGUUAUUCCAGAGGUGUGUUACAUGAGUGGAAAAAUUCAGGUUCAAAAAUUUGAGGCCCAUUUUUUUCAGCCUGUUUCCCAGUCUUUAUUUUUUUUUAUUCUAUAUAUUAAAUAUAUAUAAAAUAUAAUAAAUACAUAAAAUGUACAUUAAAUAUAUAUAAAACUAUAAAGUUAAAAUAUAUUAUUUAUAUGUAAGAAUAUAUGUAAUUGUUUUCUUGUUACUACUGCCCAUUAAGCAGUUUUAGGUCACAUAAGGACUUAAUAAGGAAUUCCUCUCUGACACCUAUUAAAUGCUCUCUUCUCUUUUAGGGGGAAUGGGAACUUUCAUCAUGAACCCCACCAGAGUCAAAGUUUUUCUGUUGCACUUGCUGCAAAUUAUGGUAUUUAUAAUAACGAGGUGAAUUUUGAUAACCAUUAACUCCUAAGAAGCCAGUUUACCCCUUUGGAACAAUCUCUGGGGAGGGCUCCGGGGGAAACCAAUUACUUUAUAAAAGUAACAGAGGUUUUAGCAAAGGAAAAGAUGAAUAAAACGACUGAGAAGGGAAAACCCUGAAGAAGAGGGAGGUGCAGGGAGGCGUCGGGGCCGCCAGAGGGCGCAGCGGGGCCGCAGCUGGAGCAUCUGGACACAGCUGGAUGGGGAGGCGGGCACCGCUGGGGGAUGAAGCCCAGUGGAUGCUGGCACUGCGGGGCUGGACCUGGCAGGACUGAGGUCACAGAGAUGGAUGGACUUGAAGGAUCUCAGCUCUCCCAAUGUGUGCCACUGGUGGAACUUUCUUUGCCUUGCUGCAUCAGAAGGUUUUUGCUCCCUCACUGCAUGAGGGGAGGGCAAGGAGGGCAGCCCAGGACCCCGGAGCGUCAGCUCUCCCAGGAAUGUCAGCUCUGCUCAUUGCAGCAUUGGAUUUUCUGAUCUGAACCCUUGAUGAAAACUGGGACUUCUGUGUCUGAGAGCUGCUCCAGGAGAUACCUCACUGCCCAAAAUCUCCAAGAAUUCCUGAUUUUGUCUUUGUCAGCCCAGCCACUUGUGCAAACAGCGUCAAGCCAGGGCUGGGCACACAAAGCAAGGUCGGUUAUAAGCCGUUCUCCUGGAACAGAGGCACUUGGAGCCGGCACAAAGGAAUCUCUGUCUCUCCCCUGCACUGGCAUCCUGGCAAUUAACCCAGAAAAUUGCAGUUUGGCCUUGUCCUGGGUGCUGAGUGUGGGGCUGUGCAGUGUGGGGGGGGUCUGGCCUGGCUGGGGGGUCUGACCGCGCUGUGGCCCCUGGAUGCACAGGGAAAUGGAGUGGUCAGGGUCCAGCUGGGAAGUACCAAAUGAAUGGGGAACUUGCCCACUUCUAGAAGAAGUGAAGGAAAUAAUUUGGGUUUUUACACUGAAUUGCAUUUAAGAGAUUUUUGUCCAGAAAACAGCAAAAUUAGGAGCCACCUGGAUCAUAAAAUCGUGGAAGAGCCUGAGCUGGAAGGGAUUCACAAGGAUCAUCAAGUCCAAUUCCUGGCCCUGCACAGGACAACUCCAAAAACCACACCAUGGAUCAAACAUGGACAACCUGACAGAAGCACUGAGCUGAGCUUAUCCCCGUGGAACAACGUGUCACACACUGCCAGGGACAUGGGAGCCCAGGGCAGAGCUCGGCUGGCGGAAACUGAGCCCUUCCCUGCCAGGCUCCUGCUGGAAACAACAGCCAUCCAGAGCUAAACACAGCACUGUGGGAAGUGCUGGUGAAGCAGAUAAUCCACAGGCAGAGGCUGUGACAGUCCACUCGAAUAUGUCAUGGCACUGUCAUCAUUAAAAAUACAGUAAUUGGGUGCCUGGGCUGGGCCAAUGUACGUGUAGGGGAAGUACUCUUGAUUAAUUAAAAAAUAUUCUUUAUUCAGUUUGCCACUGCACUUCCUGCAGAUCAAAUUAGGAGAGAUGGAUUCAAUUGCAAAGUAAUCUUUUAAAUCUUUGCAUCUGUUCCUUUGAGAAUUUUUUGUUUCAUUUUUUACUAUGUAAAGUCCCCAGCAAAGCUCACUGCAGCCACUAAAGGAAUGGAAAGUGAGGGUAUUAAUGGUAAAAAACGGAAGGCAGUGAGGAAGAUAGUAAGUCAUGCUUAAAGGGUAUUGUAGAAACUGCAGUUCACCCAAGUCCAAGCCACUAGAAAACAAAUAUUUAAUUGUACAGUAAAUAACAUAUUUUUACAGUUCCAAACCAUAUCACAGAAGCCAAGUGAAUAUAAACAAGCAUAUGAAUGGA